rnacentral:rRNA from 1 species
UACGGAGGAUCCAAGCGUUAUCCGGAUUUAUUGGGUUUAAAGGGUGCGCAGGCGGAAUGAUAAGUCAGUGGUGAAAUCCUACGGCUCAACUGUAGAACUGCCAUUGAUACUGUCGUUCUUGAGUACACUUGGAGUGGGCGGAAUGUGUCAUGUAGCGGUGAAAUGCUUAGAUAUGACACAGAACACCGAUCGUGAAGACAGCUCACUAAAUUGUAACUGACGCUCAGGCACGAAAGCGUGGGGAUCAAACAGG